UGACAACUUGCUGCAGAAUAAGCAGGGGCAGCAGCUCAACUGGUACGGCAGGAAUCACAGUGGGAGAAACAGAUCCAUUAACAGCACGGACUCUAACACUUCUCUCCAAGUCCAUUCAGACACUGGGGAGUCUAUCCAAAUCAAAAUCUGCAAGUUUCAAAGAAUCCUACAUGGCUACUUUUUAUGAAUAUUUCAAUGAGCAGAAAUACACAGAUGCUGUAAGAAAUGGAGCAUCCCAUAGGAGACAAGUCUUUUCAGUGUUAUUCAACCCAAAACUCUGGAUGUUCAACCAAUUCAAUGUGACCACCUGCCUUAACAAAGAUGUGGAAAAGUUGAGAGUAUUAUUUUAUAACAGGCGUUGCUGGAUAUAAAGAGGUCAACAAUGUUAAAUGAAGCUUAAAGAAACAGAAAAUAAUCCAUUUGAACCCGAUG